rnacentral:rRNA from 1 species
GACGAACGCUGGCGGCGUGCUUAACACAUGCAAGUCGAGCGGUAAGGCCCUUUGGGGUACACGAGCGGCGAACGGGUGAGUAACACGUGAGUAAUCUGCCUUUGGCUUGGGAAUAACUUCGGGAAAUCGGGGCUAAUGCCUGAUGUUUACUGUCUGCUGCAUGGUGGGUGGUGGAAAGAUUUUUUGGCCAGGGAUGAGCUCGCGGUCUAUCAGCUUGUUGGUGGGGUAAUGGCUACCAAGGCUUUGACGGGUAGCCGGCCUGAGAGGGUGUUCGGCCACACUGGGGACUGAGACACGGCCCAGACUCCUACGGGAGGCAGCAGUGGGGAAUAUUGCGCAAUGGGCGUAAGCCUGACGCAGCGACGCCGCGUGGGGAUGAAGGCCU